GAUGAACGCUGGCGGCGUGCCUAAUACAUGCAAGUCGAGCGAACGGACGAGAAGCUUGCUUCUCUGAUGUUAGCGGCGGACGGGUGAGUAACACGUGGAUAACCUACCUAUAAGACUGGGAUAACUUCGGGAAACCGGAGCUAAUACCGGAUAAUAUUUUGAACCGCAUGGUUCAAAAGUGAAAGACGGUCUUGCUGUCACUUAUAGAUGGAUCCGCGCUGCAUUAGCUAGUUGGUAAGGUAACGGCUUACCAAGGCAACGAUGCAUAGCCGACCUGAGAGGGUGAUCGGCCACACUGGAACUGAGACACGGUCCAGACUCCUACGGGAGGCAGCAGUAGCGAAUCUUCCGCAAUGGGCGAAAGCCUGACGGAGCAACGCCGCGUGAGUUAUGAAGGUCUUCGGAUCGUAAAACUCUGUUAUUAGGGAAGAACAUAUGUGUAAGUAACUGUGCACAUCUUGACGGUACCUAAUCAGAAAGCCACGGCUAACUACGUG
rnacentral:rRNA from 1 species